AUGCUGCAUCAGCGAAAGCACACAGACAAAUGAGGCUGGCCAUGGAGUCACACCAGCCUCAGCAGGACCUGUACAGAUCAGCUGUGAUCACCAGGGUUGCACAACCUUCCACAAGUGAGAAGUGGACUCUGGACAGCGAGAUAUGCAUUACAAGAUAAAGCUGUCCUGCUAUGCCACAGCAGUUGAAGAGUCUGAGCAUGCCUCAGUGGCCCUACGCUCCCAGCACACAAAGCCAUCUGCAGCCACCAGUCAUUUGGAGCAGCCUCUCACAUGCUGGCUUUCCUACAGGGAGUUUCUCACAGCAGGAUCAGCCGCCCUUCCAGCACAUCACAGGUGUUCUCCACAUGGCGUGAGCAGCAUUUCUCUCCUCUGGUUCUGGGAGAGGAAAUUCUGCAAACCAAAUGUGAACUCAGGAAAGGGAGGUCCUAGCAAACUUGCUGUGCCAAAGGCAAACACAAAAGGCUCACCUCUGCAGUUGUGCCCGACUGAGCAGUGCCAGCAAAUAGGGGAGUGCGGUGCCAGACUCAUACAGAGUGGUACGGGGUCAAGGCAAGGCUUUUUGCUGGGAACAGGGUGUGUGCGGGCUGAAAAGCACUGAGGAGGAACUGAGGCCAUGGCUGAUCCUGGGGGGUGUCCAGAUCAGCUCUGCAGGCGAGGUUAGUGCCUUUGCUCCUCUGUCAUCACCAGUCCCUGAGAGCAAUCACCACCCACCAACAGUUCCUCAAGAUAAGACUGAGCCAGCUGGGAGAAGAAAUCCUUUGAUAUUUCCCUGCCUCGCUGACUGCGUUUUUCACAGCUCACAUCUCAGAGAGGACCAGCAGAGAUGACUGGGCACGUAAGAAUAACACUGGACUGGUAUGCAAGGAAGGUGCUAAUCUUCUGCCAUGUGUGUAGGGCCUGGGCAGAAUGAGGCAGAGCGCAGUGCUGGAGUCUCCCUGAUCCUCCCAUGGAUAUCAGCAGCUGCCACACCUGGAGUCUGCAGCAAAGCUCCUUCCUCCAGAGGCCAAGAGCUGAGCCUACUGUUUCCAGCAAGGAAUCUUACGAUCUAUUUAUUCUCAAGAUUAAAUUUCCCUGUCCAGAACAUGUAUCAAAAAAGUCCUCCCAAACACAGAACGUGCUCAGAGAGAAGCCUGCGCUUGCUGGGGGACUUGCUGGUGGGGCAGUGCUGUGUGGAAGGGCUGUGCUCACACCAUGAGAUGAGGCCAUCUAACAGACGAAGCAUGCAGGAUUUGCACUGACCGACGCCUGCACGGCUUCAGAGCUGUUUAUGGAUGUAAGGCUUGUCGUGGCUCUUCUCCCAGACACCUCGCUGCUGUCACAGCUCAGCGUUUGCCAUAUGUUUCAGCCCAGUGCUCGAAGCCUAAUAAAAAUGUCUAGCUGUAAAUCACCAGAGGUGUAGGCUGUGACCCUCUUUACUCCUACCUCUUCCACCACCUCUCAGCCACCCUUUUCCAGAUACUGGAAGCAGUAUAGCAAGAGUGCUUCUCCCAUCGGCCUCCUGCCAGAGCAGUGAUGCCAGAACACAGCUGUUUGCAAUUGCAUGGGGAAAGCUGUGCUGGGCUGAAAUGCAAAAUGAGGCCAAUGUGUCCCCACGGUCGCUUCUUCAGGAUACUUCUUUGUCCCACUUGGAGACAGAAGCUCCUGCUUAAGUAACCCUGGGGACUUGGAUCAGACAUCAUUAAAAGCAGUGGGGCAGCCAGCCCAUGGGGAGGCAGUGGCAAAUGCGGUGCGAAUGAUCAUGUCCUGCAUGGGACAGACCAGUGCCAAUUUUGAGAGCUAUUGAAGGAAGAAACUGCUCCAAGCAGAUUACCAAGGUGACAACGAGUGCAGCUGUGGAUUUACUCAGCUAAUCAGGAAACACUUCCUUGCUGCAGAGUGGGGAAACUGAACUGUGCUGCUGAACAGGUGAUGUGCAAUCCUCCACUGUCUGUCUGCAUCGCCACAAGCAGGGCUGUGCCCUGAGAUUGCAUUGCUCUUGCAUGCCUUGCACUGCUCUACCUGCCCCUGCUUCAGGGAGGGAAGGAGCAGAGCCUGCCA
ensembl:lncRNA